rnacentral:tRNA from 1 species
GCGCCCAUAGCUCAGCUGGAUAGAGCGUCGGAUUCCGGUUCCGAAGGUCUGAGGUUCGAAUCCUCAUGGGCGUA